UACGUAGGUGGCAAGCGUUGUCCGGAAUUAUUGGGCGUAAAGCGCGCGCAGGCGGCCUCUUAAGUCUGAUGUGAAAGCCCCCCGGCUCAACCGGGGAGGGCCAUUGGAAACUGGGAGGCUUGAGUAUAGGAGAGAAGAGUGGAAUUCCACGUGUAGCGGUGAAAUGCGUAGAGAAUGUGGAGGAACACCAGUGGCGAAGGCGACUCUUUGGCCUAUAACUGACGCUGAGGCGCGAAAGCGUGGGGAGCAAACAGG
rnacentral:rRNA from 1 species